AGUGAACGCUGGCGGUAGGCCUAACACAUGCAAGUCGAACGGCAGCACAGUAAGAGCUUGCUCUUACGGGUGGCGAGUGGCGGACGGGUGAGGAAUACAUCGGAAUCUACUUUUUCGUGGGGGAUAACGUAGGGAAACUUACGCUAAUACCGCAUACGACCUACGGGUGAAAGCAGGGGAUCUUCGGACCUUGCGCGAUUGAAUGAGCCGAUGUCGGAUUAGCUAGUUGGCGGGGUAAAGGCCCACCAAGGCGACGAUCCGUAGCUGGUCUGAGAGGAUGAUCCAGCAACACGGAAACGAGAACAGGGUCCGGAGUCCUAGGGAGGGCGGCGGUGGGAAUUUUUGACCAAGGGGCGCAGCCUGAUCCCGGCAUUCCGGGUGGGUGAAGAAGGCCUUUCGGUUUGAAAGCCCCUUUUUUGGGAAAGAAAAGCCGCCGGUUAAUACCCCGGUGUUUUGAAGGUAACCAAAGGAUAAGCCACGGGCAAAUUCGUG
rnacentral:rRNA from 1 species